CCUGCGUGUGGCAGCAGUGGGGAAUAUUGGACAAUGGGCGAAAGCCUGAUCCAGCCAUGCCGCGUGUGUGAAGAAGGCCUUCGGGUUGUAAAGCACUUUCAGUGGGGAAGAAAGCCUUGGGGCUAAUACCCUCGAGGAAGGACAUCACCCACAGAAGAAGCACCGGCUAACUCCGUGCCAGCAGCCGCGGUAAUACGGAGGGUGCGAGCGUUAAUCGGAAUUACUGGGCGUAAAGCGCGCGUAGGCGGUCUGAUAAGCCGGUUGUGAAAGCCCCGGGCUCAACCUGGGAACGGCAUCCGGAACUGUCAGGCUAGAGUGCAGGAGAGGAAGGUAGAAUUCCCGGUGUAGCGGUGAAAUGCGUAGAGAUCGGGAGGAAUACCAGUGGCGAAGGCGGCCUUCUGGACUGACACUGACGCUGAGGUGCGAAAGCGUGGGUAGCAAACAGGAUUAGAUACCCCGGUAGUC
rnacentral:rRNA from 1 species